AGAUACUGCCUUACCACCCUGAACACACCUGAUGUUGGAAGCUAAGCAGGGUCAGGCCUGGUUAGUAUUUGGAUGAGAGAGAGAGAAAAAGGGGGGUGGGUGGGUC
rnacentral:rRNA from 1 species